GAUUAACGCUGGCGGCGUGCAUAACACAUGCAAGUCGAACGAUGAAACUUUAAUGAACCCUUCGGGGAGAAUUAAAGCGGAUUAGUGGCGGACGGGUGAGUAACGCGUGAGUAACCUGCCUUACACAAGGGGAUAGCCUUUGGAAACGAAGAAUAAUACCCUAUAAAACCAUAAAAGCACAUGCAAUUAUGGUCAAAGUGAUAGCGGUGUAAGAUGGACUUGCGUCUGAUUAGCUAGUUGGUGAGAUAAAAGCCCACCAAGGCAACGAUCAGUAGCCGGCUUGAGAGAGUGUACGGCCACAUUGGGACUGAGACACGGCCCAGACUCCUACGGGAGGCAGCAGUGGGGAAUUUUGCACAAUGGGGGAAACCCUGAUGCAGCGACGCCGCGUGAUUUAGAAGGCCUUCGGGUUGUAAAAAUCUUUUGUAUAGGAAGAAAAUGAUAGUACUAUACGAAUAAGGUCCGGCUAAUUACGUG
rnacentral:rRNA from 1 species